UUGCAGAAAAUGCAGACAAUGAAAAAUCUUCAGAUUUUUGUUCUACAAGUCCAGAUAAUUCAAAAGAGAAGACAAAAGGAGAAAUACAUGACGCUUCUGCUGUUUCAGAUGAUUCCAACAGUGCCAAAGCCUCAGGAAUUUCCGUUUUAAUAAAUUCCAUUGGUUUUGAAAAAAGAGCCUUUUCAAAGACUGAAAAUGUCAAUACUCAAGAUGCUAAAAGGUCUUUAGAAUCCAACAAUUGCCGAGAGAGACCAGAGAGCAUAUCGAGUGAUGAAAUAACGCAGCUGUGAAACUUGAAAAAAUGUUAAAAGAAAUUAGUUUAACAGAACUAUGUCAGGGAAUAUACAUAGAUGACAAGAAUGUCAGGAUAACCAAAAAUAAGCUUAGAAAUUGUAAACGCAUAAAUUGUAAAACUUGAGAACUUAUAUAUUAUCCAAACAAUCUGUACACUUUUGACAGCAUUGUAAGCAUUAUUUUGUUACAUAUAU